GACACCACUUCCUCCACUUCCCCCUCCCCUCCCCUCUCCUUUUUCUCUCUGGCCUUGUCACCUGACAUCAUCUUUUUCACCCACUCUUUCCCGCUCUUCUGCUCCUUUCCUGCCGCCGCGCAGAACCCUUUUCACCACUGUUAGUUUUUGAGAUCAAUUUUUGUAUUUUCGCAUUUUGAGAUUCUUUAAAAAGAAAAUCAGGUGAACGCAAUUUAAAGGAAUAUACAACAAUGUCAUUGAGUAAAUUCUUUGUUACAUGAUGAAUAUAAUGUGUUUUAUACCGAAUAGGUAAGACCUUUGGAAAUGAAAUUUUCAACUUCUGUUGAGCAUUUAAAUUAAAAUAAAUACAUUGUUUUCCUCAUAAUUGUGUGAUCACCCGCGUAUUGUUUUCAUGUCUGUUGGUAGUUAUUUCUGUCCUUCAAUUAAAAGGGAUGGACGUUCUUUGCUGUCCCCUGAUUCAUCUCAUGGCACCAUCUCAGUUUAGAGACAUCCGGUCCCAUCGGGUUUAGUUUGAAAACCUUGAACUGCAGUACCCACUGUUCACUAACAUUUACCUCUAAUUACCAGGCUCAUUAAAGCAUCGAAUUAGCAGCGAAAGUCUUUCAGCCUCUACGCUGUGCUUAAUCGUUAAGCAAAUGAAGCGCCACAAGUUGGAAGUGAUUACUAUUGAGAUGUAAGUGCCGCGGACCCAUGAAAUGUCACUCAGCUGCCCUUAAAAGACAGGAUAGAAGGGAAAAGGGACUGAAAGCAAUUUACUUCCACUUGGUGGGAAAGCUGUUUUGUGUGCGCACAGAGAGGUCUUCAAACCUCACACGGCUAUUAUUCUACUGCUACACGCUGUGAGAAACAGCUUCUCCAGAAGGUCAACGUCAUUUACAUCUAAAAAAAAAAGAAAAAAAAAAGGCUGACAGCUGCUUACCUGUCGAGUUAAUACAAACUUCUCGAACCUUCAGGUCACUUCCACUCCACAGUCCCCCAUUCAACUACACGCACACGCAUGCAUAUUGACACACACACACACACACACUGCUGCUUGGUAUUCAGGAGGUCAAGAUUAAACAGCUCUUUCAUUUGUUGAUCCUCCUAGGUCACAACCUUGAAUAGGUAAUGUCAGAUUAACUGAUUGGUUGAUUCUUCUGAGAGAAUAAAUUGAACAUAUUGACUAUGAAUAUUUGACCACUUCUGUCAUGUGGGUAAGCACAUAUACACACACUGCGGUCAAGGCCAUGAAAGUAGUGAAAUCAACCUCUGCAACUUUGCAAAUUGACAAGAUGUCAGUGUGUAAUGUGAAAUGGUGCAGAGCAACACAUGAGACAACGCCGAAGUCUGUUGGUUGGUGUAAAGAAAUGAUUCACACAUGAUGAUGCGAGACCCGAGACACGAGUUGUCGCUGAGCACAAUCUGUAGAUGUGUUGAAAUUCAACACGUGCCAUUUUUGACACACGCCUGCUGUCAGCUUUGUGUUUCUCAGGUACAACCUGUCCCUACGCGCACAACGUGUCAUCAAAAUAAACUUCGCUCUCAACUUGAAGGUUAAACCGAGGCAAAACAAAACCACUUAAGUUUUGGGAAACAAGAUUUUUUAUUUUUUUUUACAGCACUCACACUCAGUUGGCCUGAGUGUGUAAUAAGGACGCAGGCGCGUUUACGUUGGAGUUAGACGCUAGCCGAGUGCAUUGCAUCCAUGCGCUAAAGGUCGCCCCAGCGGGCUGGCAAGGCACAAGGCUAGAGACGCCACGGGUGCAGCAGGAGACGGGGUUAAUGUGCUGUAUCGCUAUCCGGAAGACCUCCUCCUAUUAGAAGCCACUCAUCUCCCGUGACUCUUUCUACCUUCACACUUCUAUUUCUAUCUGUCUCUCUAGGUUUCCCCACUCUCCAUUUCAUGGCUGUUUUCUUCUCCUAUUUGCUUGACAAGACAAUGGAUAAUAACCCCGCAAUAGCACUGAGACCGGCAAAUGAGAGUAAUCAAGCUGUCUUGUCCUGGUGGCGUUCAGGUUCACUCAUCAAACCCUAAUUAUCACCCUGGAAACCAAUGUUCCGCUUUAAUUGUUCUGAUGAAUGAAAUAUUACUGAAACGAGUCGGGCUGCAGCCGAGCGGAAAAACUGCUUCCAGCCAUAAAACACGGUAGAGGAGGAGGAGGAGGAGGAGGAGGAGGAGGAAGAGAAGGAGGAGAAGGAGGAGGAGAAGUGAAGGUGACUCAGGAGAGAACGAUACGAAAAAAGCCGGCUCAAGUAAUGGAUAAAUAGAGUUCAUCGUGACUUAAAAUAUGAAGGAGAGGGAAAUGGUAGAACCAAAAAAAAUAGUUCAGGCAUUCUGGCAAAUGACUUGAGGAUGUUUAAGUGCAGUCUAAUUGCUUCAGGACAGCAAACCCGGAGGCGUCUGGCCGGUAAUCGAGACGGAGUGCAUCCAGAGAUUUCUUACAUGGCUCCCAGCUGAGUUUUUGCAAUAAAAAAAAAAAAACGUUAUUGGGCCGGCAGAGUUAUAAACUAUUACACUCAUCUAUGGAUCCCCACUGAUGUAAAACAUCUGUAAUUAAAUCAUGAAUACUGCACGUCUUCAGGCAGCUAUCAUAAAUCUUAAUUAAACAGAUCUGUGCUGCAUUUUUGGAAGUCAUCAGAUGUAACACCUUAAGAUAUUGGUUUCUUGUCUUGCUUUCUCCGAUUUGAUUUGAAGACAUCUAGUGCAAAACAAACCAUGAAAUGAAACAGUUGGACAGAACAUCUGCCAAACGUGUAACUGUCGUGGGCUUGAAAUGAUUCCUUGAGGCUGCCAGGUGAAUGCGUCCUCUAUACCUCCACGCACAGGACACACAUAAAUGCGCACUACGUUUGCAAAACUCUUCUUGCUACCUGAAUAGGAAUCUUGACACCUUGCGCUGUGUCAUCAAUAAUGGAGUGUAUGGAACACAUCCACAGGGGUUUGUAGCAUUAUUGAUACCAGCCCGUCCCCCAGUUGUUCUCAUAGCAGAAACAGCAGGAGUGGAGCCGCAGAGAGGAGAGGAAGACGCCUGUUAGGGUCAGAAGGAGUCUGGCCUCACAAACACACACACACACACACACACACACACACAUCUGUCUGCAGAAACACAUGCAGGUGUACGGUUGAACACACACACAUACUGUAGAUUGUGCGCGCACAAACACAAAUCUUUUUAACUGUCUUUCUCACCCUCACUUUGAUUGAUGAAUAACCCGCAGCUAUCCCCUGUGUGGACAGAUGGAGUGCUGCAUGCUGUGUGUGCAAAUGAACGCGAUGUUAAAAGGAUGGAAGCUGGAUGGGUGAAAGUAACUCCUCAAGGAGUUCCACUCCCAUGCAUGAAGGUAGGUAAUGUAAGAGAAAUAGUGUAGAGUAUUCAUAUUAUUAUUAGUAGUGACCUGCAAGAUCUGGCGACUUAAAACAAAUAUACAAUACAGUUUGAUUAGGAAUUUAAUAACAACCUACCACAGCAUGAUUGGUAAUAUAUUUAAGUUAGAGAGUUAACUCAUUGUAUCAGAAGUUGGCGGACUAAAUAGAGCAGCGUUGGGUUGAAGCGCUUUGCCAUCGCGUGACUGGCCUCCCUGAACAUCUUUGUCAAGAUUAAAUUAUAGAGCGCAUGUAACUGGUCCUGAAAAACUAUUCUUUAUUGUACAUUAUUUAUCUCUCGUAAAUACAUAAUAGUCUCCGCUAUACAACCAUGUGUACAACACGCACUCACACACACACACAAACACUUAUGAUUAUAUAUCGUAAUUUGUAAACUCCAUCAUUGUUGAGUCUUUAAAAAAAACAUCUUGUUAUUCUAGUAAACAAAAAGAUUUAAGCCAGAGAUUCCUUUAGUAAUCAUUGCUCCUUUUCUUUUUAGAAUGUGCGUUGAUGAAUUAUUUCACCUUCUUAUGUAUUCUGUAACUUAGAGGGGUUUAUGUGACACACCCAGAAAAAGCAACAUAUCAUAACUACCAGAGAGCCACAGCAACAAUCUAUAGAUUCUGCUGACAAAGUAGAGGUGGAAAAAACAUCCUCUCUAAGUUCACCGCGGCCUGAGACACAACAUUUCUCUUUCAAUUGCUGCUGUAUUUGGGAACGUGGAGAAGUAGGUUCUACUGGGAUGGUAAGAGUAGCUGUUUUGAUCUGAAAAAUGGGUUCUGAUCAUUUCCCAAAAGCAAACUCGUGCUUCGAAAUAUUCAAACAGGACCCAGUGACAGACACAAAUAUGAACUUUCAGAAAGAUGAUUAAAGACUUUCCUUCGGAAACAACGAACCAAAAUCAUCUUUGACAAAACAAUUUAAUGAGUUUGCUCAGCCCGCCUUUCAUUAAAGUAAUUCAAAGUUUACUCACACAACUCUUAUUUUAAGGUAGCAAAUAGCUGUAUACAGUAGCAUUCAUAUCAAAGGAGUAUGCUGCUUUUAAUUAAUGAUCUGCAUUUUGAAUUUACUACGUUUAAGAACAGGGCUUACUUAGUUGUAAAAAAAUACAUAUAAACGAUUUGGACCUAAAAGAGUCUCUUGGAGGAGUCAAUUAUUUGAAUAAAUAGACAAAUACAAGGAUGAGAUAUUUAGUCAAGCAUUUAUACCAGGCUUUCUGAUGAAAAUGUGUUGAUAUUGAUUUUGAUAAGAUUUAAUGACAUCAAAGCUCUGUGUUUAUCCAUCUGGACGUUAAUAUUUCUAAACUGUUAUUGAACAGAAUAAUCCAUUUGGUAAUUUAAAUGACAUGAUGUGAUGGAAUGAGACAACGUUCCUAAAGAGAGAUACCACACGAUACUCUUGUUGCCCCACAAAGAAAAGCCGCUGUUUCACUCAGAUGUCCAAUGAACGGAGCAAUAGAAUAUAAUACUCAUCAUAACUGUUGAUUUCACAGUGACAGCAGCUCAGCUCUCCGUGGGUCCAACAAGCAGCACCAGUGUGGCUCCUGCACGUCACAGACCUGGAAGUACCAUCACUUCAAUUUGCUAAAACUCACGCUGGGUCAUUUUGUUCUGUUUACUGUUGCAUGCAGUAAUUAGUUUAUAGGGGUCGUGCCACACACAUAUAUAUAUAUAUAUAUAUAUAUAU
ensembl:lncRNA